GAUGAAGAACGUAGCGAAAUGCGAUACUUGGUGUGAAUUGCAGAAUCCCGUGAACCAUCGAGUCUUUGAACGCAAGUUGCGCCCGAAGCCACUAGGCCGAGGGCACGCCUGCCUGGGCGUCACACGCCGUUGCCCCCCCAUCUACUCCUUCGGGAUUGCGGGGGGGCGGAUGAUGGCCUCCCGUGCGCCUAGUCGCGCGGUUGGCAUAAAUACCAAGUCCUCGGCGACGCACGCCACGACAAUCGGUGGUUGCGAAACCUCGGUUGCCCGUCGUGUGCGUUCGUCGCGCAUCGAGGGCUCGAAAAAAUGCUCGGCUCCGGCUGGGCUUUCAACGCGACCCCAGGUCAGGCGGGGUUACCCGCUGAAUUUAAGCAUAUCAAUAAGCGGAGGA
rnacentral:misc_RNA from 1 species